rnacentral:rRNA from 1 species
UACGGGGGGGGCAAGCGUUGUUCGGAAUUACUGGGCGUAAAGGGCUCGUAGGUGGCCAACUAAGUCAGACGUGAAAUCCCUCGGCUUAACCGGGGAACGGCGUCUGAUACUGGAUGGCUUGAGUUCGGGAGAGGGAUGCGGAAUUCCAGGUGUAGCGGUGAAAUGCGUAGAUAUCCGGAGGAACACCGGUGGCGAAGGCGGCUUCCUGGACCGACACUGACGCUGAGGCGCGAAAGCUAGGGGAGCAAACGGG